CUAAAGGAAUCUGUCUUUUUCUCUCCCAGUGUGUCUCAGAGAAAGGCUUUCAGGAAAGAUGUGCAUGUGUGUGCGGGCGUGUGUGUGUUUCAAAACAAUUUUGUUUUAGGGGGUGUGAGUCUAUGUGUGUGCGUAUGUCUCUUCAAAUGUGCUUGAGACAAUAUCGGCACUAUCGGAGUCACUUGCACACAGGUUGUCUCUACAAACAGCAGGUGUUAUUUCCUGGGCUGUAGGAAGCAAAAGGCAAUCCCAACAACCAGCAUAGAAAAUGUCUAGACAUCCCUAAGGUUUAAAAACAAUGUUUUUGUUUUUAAACAAUAAUAUUUUCAGGUUUGUACUUAUGUCAAUUGUAUGUUCUUUUUUUAAGUUAAAAUGUAUAAUUUUCAUAUAAAUAUAUGUUAAUAUUAUUUUAAAAACAGGAUACCCGACAUCUACCUGGAAUAAUUGAUUUGGAUCCACCAACAUGAGAUGAGAAAUCCGAGGUGCAAACCGAAACCGGUUCUUCUUUACGCAGCCCGUCACCAUCACGCUUUUUUUGACCGGACAGCCCCCCAACAACAUGAUGCAUUAUGGACUCUGAACGACUUCGGAGGAGCAGAUGAAACAGACAGUAUUCUACCGUUCUGUACGGCCGGCUUUACCCUAACUCCAAACACCCCAAGAAGCGCAGCUUUAACAAACAGAUACACACCCCCGGGAAACUCAAGCCAAUCGCUACAUAAUCUAGCAUUUACUGUGCGUCACAGUCCUUCAAGACUCCACACUACUUUGGCACAAGUGCAUCGCGCAAAUCACCCCGGCCCGAGAAGGGUCUGAGAACGCACAGAUUCAAGAACAUGCACUCUAUGGAUACGACUCCAACGAUACAAACCCUGCAGAAUCUGCAAAGCCAGAGGAAAAAGGUGGUAUACAGGAUUCCUCAGAACAGCAUGUGUCAAAAAACCCAAGGUUUAUUUAACUAGGCAAGUCAGUUAAGACCAAAUUCUUAUUUUCAAUGACGGCCUAGGAACAGUGGGUUAACUGUCCUGUUCAGGGGCAGAAUGACAGACUUGUACUU